GAUCAAAGGGGAGGCGGGCCUUAGCUCAUUUGCAUAAUUGGGGGAGGUGUGACCUGUCACUUUUUAUGCAUACUAAUGAGACGAAAGCGGGAUGAAUAUAACUACUUCCGUAUUCCAUUAUGAAGACAAAAUCAACAUGUUCAAGGUCAUCUGUAAACACGAAGAAUAUGUUAAGCCACAAUUAGCGUAAAGAUUAGAAGCGAAAAGAAACUGCAAGCUUUGCUACAAAAAUGUAAAAAACCCACCCACACUCCACAGCUGUUAGGAUUUAAAAUGGCAUCUUGCAUAUUUGACACAUUGAAGUGUGAAAUUUGAUAUUGGGAUUGAACAAACAGCUCUUCUAAAAUGAGCAGCAUCUAAAAAGUCCCCUCAAGUGGUGUUGGAGAAUGGAGCCCUGUUACCAUGAAUGCAUCAUUGCUGAAACCAGAAACCAGCACACUAGCAAAUAUUUAUAUUCAUUAGGUUGCUGGACGGCAGAUGUUUCACUUUUGAUGGGACGGUUCUCCCUGCUUCCAGUCUUUGUGCUGAUGCUAGCUUAAAAUGAACUUUUAGCAUUCAGUUUUUGUUUUAUUAUGACAAUAUCGAAAGGUGUUGUCUUGUAAAUGUACCAAUUUAAACUGACUAAUUCUGAGAUUUCUUUUUCAAAAUUGACAUACCCGUUCCUUAAAUACAUUUUUCCUACACAAUAGUACAAUGUUGUAAUUCCAUCUUGUUGUGUUAGCCGUAAAACACAGAAAAACUCAAAUGAAUGCAUAACAUUCAUCAGCAGUUCACAUUCCUGUCAGUGGGCUAGAGGAAUACAAGUCUGCAACAGACGAAGUAUGCACAAGACUUUAAAGUUCAUUUCAUAAAACGUUUAUGAAAUAUCACAACAUAUCUUAGCAAUUAGUUCCAAUGUGACUCUAAAACAAGUCAAUGAGUGUUAUUUAUUUUAUGAUUUCCAGAUGAUGUUCCAUGGUAAGGAUUAUAAUUACGAUCAUGAUCUUUUUUUAAAGACAUAUUGUUACUUAAGAUAAGUCCAAAACCGGCUUGUAGCUGUACGUCAGUCUUAGUCUUGGGUUAUCAAAAAGCUCCAGGGGUUACAUAUGCGUGCCGUGCUGUUCAGGAGAAAGGGCGUC